UCCUGGGUUCCAGGUAUCCUCCAUGGCCUCCCAAAGUGCUGAGAUUACAGGUGUGAGCCAGCAUGCACGGUCUGGUCAUGUUUUUGAUGUGUUGAUUCUUUCCAGUCCGGAUGCGUAAUCUCAUGUCUGAACAUUCCUGCUGGUGUGAUUAUGUUAUAUGACUUAGCCCAGCACCAGAGUGAUUUGGUGCUCCUGCCUUGGCCCAGCCCAUGGAAGGGACUGUGACAUAUAACUGGACCCAGUACCGAGGUGAUGUGACUAUUCUACUGCCUUGGCACUGCCCACAGGGGACAUUGUGGCAUCACUGCAUCUUGUACCCAGGUGGUGUGAAUCUUGUCUCCUGCCUUGGCUCUUCCACAGGGGACAUUGUGUCAUAUCGCUGGGCCCCACACAUAGGUUAUGUGACCCUCCUGCCUGUGCCCUGCCUGUGUGGGCCACUGUGACUUUUGCGGGGUCCAACACCCAGGUGAUGUAAGUCUACUGCUGAGGUCCUGCCUACAGAAGAUAUUGUGGCAUAUUCCUGCACCAUCACUCAGGUUCUGCCCACAGAGGAUAUUGUGACAUGUCACUGGGCCUAAUACUACAGUGACAUACUCUUCUGCCUUGAGACUGCCCUUAGAAGGCAUGGUGGUGUAUUGCUGGGCCCAGAACCAAUGUGGUGUGAGUCUCCUGCCUGGACCCUGCCUACAAGGUGCAUUGUGACAUAUCUCUGGGCCCUUUAUUUUAUGUGACUCUCCUCUCUUACCU